rnacentral:rRNA from 1 species
CAGUAGCCACGGUAAUACGUAGGGUGCAAGCGUCAAUCGGAAUUACUGGGCGUAAAGCGUGCGCAGGCGGUUUUGUAAGACAGAGGUGAAAUCCCCGGGCUCAACCUGGGAACUGCCUUUGUGACUGCAAGGCUGGAGUGCGGCAGAGGGGGAUGGAAUUCCGCGUGUAGCAGUGAAAUGCGUAGAUAUGCGGAGGAACACCGAUGGCGAAGGCAAUCCCCUGGGCCUGCACUGACGCUCAUGCACGAAAGCGUGGGGAGCAAACAGGAUUAGAGACCCCCGUAGUCCCUGUCUCUUAUAC